CAAGGGUUUUGGUUGUUGUUUUUUUUUAAUCCUAGGUGCUGGGGCGCAUUCCUGAAUGCAAUUACAGGUCUUGACUAAUCUCAUCUAUCCAAAUUCUGUAGCACUGAAUUCUUUUUGUCCUAUUGACGUCAUUUGCUAAAAAGUUACUUUCAUUUCUCUAAGUACAUAGAUUUUUUUUUUCAUGCACCUUUUAAAUCGCUGAGAGAGCAAGUUUUAACAUCCUCGAGAAUCUUCAAGAAUGCAUCCACAAAAACAGCAAACAGGCCCACCAGAGUGUCUCCCUCUAAAGCAUGGUGAAGCUAGAGAAACCUUGCAGAAGUGAGUUACUCCUUUGUAAGCGACAUGAGGCCAGCCUGGCCAGAAGAGGAGAACUACACUAUGUCAAGGAGAAUCUAGACACCCUAAUCAUCCACCUAUGGGGAGAGAAUCGGCCGUGAAUCCCCACAAGUUGCAGGGGCUGGGAACAUCGGUAAAACUCCUAGGGGUCGUCUGGUCAGGGAGUCAAGACCUGGAUUCAUUUUUCACAGCUGAAGAAGGCCAAGGCACCCUCGUGGACUUGUUAACCCUCUGGAGAACUAAAAAUCACCUUAAAACACCCUAGCGGCCAGAAGCAGAUGACAUCUGAGGUAGACAGCUGAUCUCAAGAUCACAGAACAAGACAUCAUGCAAGUUGCUGAAAUUUGCGGACGUUGAUGUUUGUUACUUUUUUUGUGUUAGUUCCUCGUUAUAGCAACUUAACAUCAUUACUGAGUAAUGCAAGCUGCUGAGAUUUCAGAUCUUGUUUAAUACUUACUACUUUUGAAAUAGCAUUAUUUUAUCAACUUGGAUUGAUUACAUAGUAAAGUUUUAUUUUCUGAUGCAGGUGAUUGAAGGAACUUUCUUUAUUGUAGCUGUUAUUUUUAUGCUAUUUGCCUCAUUGUAUUAUUUUAUUAAGCAUUCCUUCACUAUGAGACUUUUUAAAAAUAUUCUCAUUUUAUACUCACCUAUCCUCAUUAAUGCUUAUUAAAAGAAUGCCUUUAUUAGGUUAGCCCAAGCUGUAGCUAGUGCCAGAAGCUUAACAGACUGCUGGAUUUGUCACCCCUUUCCUAUCUCCAGUCAUGAAAACUCUGACCCACUAGCUAUUACCAUUACAAAUUAUAGUUUAAUACCUAACUUCACCAUCAAUCCCAAUGACAGCUAAUCUUAUCUCUCCCAACAUAUAGCUGUUAAGAUAGAAUAGCAGCCCAACAAGAAUUCUUAAACUCCCUUGUAAAAAUAGUUUUAGGAAACAGCAUACAAACUGGCCUAACUAUAUUGCUCAUUUUCAUAAUUUUUUUGGAUUGGUUAAUUGCAUUAUAAUAUGUCUUUCCAAACUAUGUAUAGAAACUGCAAAACCUCUUGCUAUGCAAUGAAUAAUAUAUUUUGAAGAGAUUAUAAAGGAAGCAGACCCUCCACUUCAUACCACUGUCAGGUUGUUCCUGCAUAAUUCAGCCUAGCUCGAACCCACCCUCUAUAGACAAUCACUGAAGCGGAGUGUUCCCAGCAAUAGCAUGGUGAAGAUUAUCUGAUGCCGCCUGGCUAUCUAACAAGUAGCACCUGAGGUCUUAAAGCUUAUCAAUCAUAAGCAGCCAUCUCAGUCCAGCAAACAGCCAAUACAGAAGUGUGAUGAAGGGAAAAAAAGUGUGAUCAAGGGAAGUCCCACGGAAAUUCUUGAUCAAAAGGGGGGGAUGUGUAGGAGCAUUCCAAAACUCAGGUGCUUAGCAUGGUAGAGUCUUCUGUCUGAAGUGUAGGCCUGACUCCAUUUUGUCUUAAGAUUUACUUAUGCUUUAAUGUGUGAUCUGUAAGUAUAAGAUGGAAAUUUUUACAAGACGUUGUGCAAACAAAAAUUAGGUUAUGCUAAAGAAUGUGGUUUUGUUUGCCCUCAUUUUGCUUGCACAGAUGUUCCAAGAAGCAUGUGACUUUACUGGUUAGCUAAUUCUCAGAAAAUGUUUCUUGGCCCCCUUAAAAAAUGUUUUUACAAUCUUGUACUUUUCCAUGGCUAUGUCUCUACCGAUGUUAAAUAUCAACCAUUCAUAUUUUAUGCCGUAAAGUUCCUCAUACCUGCAGUCUUUGUCUUUAUAAGCUCUUGUCAUGAUCAGCUUUUCAGAUCACUUUGUAUUUUUACUUAGUUCUACCAAGCUACAGUUGUUCUAUUCCUCAAUAAAACUCUGUUUGCUUUGUACAGAAUAAAGACUUUUUUCUUUGACAUUAUAAGUAUGAUAAACAGUAAACAUUCUAAAAUUAUAAAGAAUUCAGGCAACAGAUACCAAAAGCACC